AUUGAACGCUGGCGGCAUGCUUUACACAUGCAAGUCGAACGGCAGCACGGGGGCAACCCUGGUGGCGAGUGGCGAACGGGUGAGUAAUACAUAGGAACGUAUCCUGAAAUGGGGGAUAGCUCGGCGAAAGCCGGAUUAAUACCGCAUACGAUCCACGGAUGAAAGCAGGGGAUUCGCAAGAACCUUGCGUUUCUGGAGCGGCCUAUGUCUGAUUAGCUAGUUGGCGGGGUAAAAGCCCACCAAGGCGACGAUCAGUAGCUGGUCUGAGAGGAUGAUCAGCCACACUGGGACUGAGACACGGCCCAGACUCCUACGGGAGGCAGCAGUGGGAAUUUUGGACAAUGGGGCAACCCUGAUCCAGCCAUGCCGCGUGAGUGAAGAAGGCCUC
rnacentral:rRNA from 1 species